rnacentral:rRNA from 1 species
UCGAACGAGCGAGAGAGAGCUUGCUUUCUCGAGCGAGUGGCGAACGGGUGAGUAACGCGUGGGUGACCUACCUUUUCGUUGGGGAUAACAGUUGGAAACGAUUGCUAAUACCGAAUAAAAUGUAAGAGUCAAUUUUACAUUGAAAGGAGCCUUUAAAGCUUUGCGAUUAGAUGGGCCUGCGGCGUAUUAACUAGUUGGUGAGGUAAUGGCUUACCAAGGUGACGAUGCGUAGCCGAACUGAGAGGUUGAUCGGCCACAUUGGGACUGAGACACGGCCCAAACUCC